CAGGCUGAGAAGCUUGAAUGUCCAAAAGAAAAAAAAUGAUAUUUUGGAGAAACACUAUCCAUAUAGACAUCUUUCAACUAUAGCGCCUGACUUACUGAAGGGCCAUAUCUGUCAACACUAAAACAGUUCCUGAAGCAGAAUCUUAAACCUGAAAUUGAACUACUUCCCGGCCAGUCUUUCCAAAAGGUACAGAGGUUCUGAGAAGUGCAGAUCUCAUUUCAUGUUUUCAAAGCUAUCUAAUUCAAGCAAUAAAUAUAUCCGCCGAGAGAAGGAAGACGGGAAGGGAAGACAGUAUUUGAUUUGGAGUAUGAGACGGCAAUAUCUGACCUGGUUUUAUUGGACACUUGUGUUUUCUCCAGUUAAAGUGGCAUUAGAAUAAUACACCUGUGAUCAG